UGCGUAGGCGGUCCUUUAAGUUCGGUGUGAAAUCUCCCGGCUCAACUGGGAGGGUGCGCCGAAGACUGGAGGGCUUGAGUGCGGGAGAGGAGAGCGGAAUUCCUGGUGUAGCGGUGAAAUGCGUAGAUAUCAGGAGGAACACCGGUGGUGCAGACGGCUCUCUGGACCGCAACUGACGCUGAGGCACGAAAGCGUGGGGAGCAAACAGGAUUAGAUACCCUGGUAGUCCAUGCCCUAAACGAUGCACACUUGGUGUGAGUCAUUCAGUUGAUUCGUGCCGGAGCUAACGCGUUAAGUGUGCCGCCUGGGGAGUACGGUCGCAAGGCUGAA
rnacentral:rRNA from 1 species